CUCCGAGAAAGGUUUCACGUUCCAGAAAGUCUCGACGGUGUUGCACCCGGUAGAGAACCUCCCCGAGGGUAGAGUAAGACGACCGUGAAGUCUCCAUAAUGCAGGCCGGCUGGUUGAACGACAUAAAAAAUCCAAUGGAGUACUCCCACGGCACGUCGGAACCAACACCAACCAACGAAAAUACAAAACUUACGUUCUCCGAAACUUCUUACGGCGGCGUAGGGAUUGUAUGGGAUAACGAAAGGAAUGAUGAAAGUUUCCCCGGACGAAAAUCCAUGGAACGUGACGAAACUCAUCCCCUUCGGAAAAUCUUUUUCACAUUUUCAACGAAACGUUAAACGAACUUGGUAAGAACGUUUAUGGCGAGAUGUUAAAAGAGAACCGACGGUACAAAGAUGUAUAAGGGUAUUUCGGGGUAAUUCAUUUUCAAGGUA